rnacentral:rRNA from 1 species
UACAGAGACUGCAAGCGUUAUUCGGAUUCACUGGGCGUAAAGGGUGCGCAGGCGGCUAGGUGUGUCAGAUGUGAAAUCCCGAGGCUCAACCUCGGAACUGCGUCUGAAACUACUUGGCUAGAGUACUGGAGAGGGUAACGGAAUUCACGGUGUAGCAGUGAAAUGCGUAGAUAUCGUGAGGAACACCAGUGGCGAAGGCGGCUUCCUGGACUAAAACUGACACUGAGGCACGAAAGCGUGGGUAGCAAACAGG